GGGUGUUCUCUGAAAAGACUAUUCCUGAGCAAUUGAAAGUAGACUUAUUAUCUGUUGAAACUUUCAAGCUUUUGGCUGAAGAAGCAACUAUGUGGGGACAAGGAGAAACGAAGGAGCCAGCAGCCCCACAAGGCUUUGGCAGGUCUUAUUCUGUAUCUAGUGGUUUUAUUGCUGAUGAUAUCACUGUUCUAACUUGGAUUUAGUGGCAGACUCUGUAUCUUCAUGACCGAUCGAUAGAAUCAGACCUACUUUUCAGCAGAUAAGAUGACAAUGGGUGGUCAAAGAAAUCUCAACUAUGGAAGGCUAUAUACC
rnacentral:lncRNA from 1 species